UUCGGUGGCCAUGGCGGAGGAUAAAACGCUCCAUCCCAUCUCGAACUGGAAAGCGAAAGUCUCCAGCGGCAAUGGUACUGUGUCUUAAGGCGCGGGAGAGUAGCACGCCGCCGGAC
rnacentral:rRNA from 1 species